UUUCCCACACUUAAUAUCAUUGAUUUGUAAACUUAAUCGCAACUCAAAAGAAAAAAAGAGGAUCUUUUUGUGCGUGGCCUGUUUUGGAUUGGAUUGAUCGUUUUCUCAUUGGGUCAAGAGUGAAGAUGUCUGAUGGUACCUUUUCAAUCCACAUCUGUGGGGAGAUUGUAGUGGUUGGAUCUCCGAGCGCCACUGUCUAUGGAAGAAUAACAGC
rnacentral:lncRNA from 1 species